UACAACAUCACAAUCAUAAUUAACCAAAUGCACCAGAUGCAACACAUUGUCAUCUGGGACAAUGUGUCAUUCCACCGCUCUGCUCUGGUGCAGAACUGGUUUCAACACUAUCCACAAUUUACAGUACUGUACCUGCCACCAUAUUCUCCAUUUGUAA